rnacentral:rRNA from 1 species
CCUACGGGCGGCAGCAGUGAGGAAUAUUGGUCAAUGGGCGCGAGCCUGAACCAGCCAAGUCGCGUGAAGGAUGACGGCCCUACGGGUUGUAAACUUCUUUUAUAAAGGAGUAAAGUGAGGCACGUGUGCCUUUUUGUAUGUACUUUAUGAAUAAGGAUCGGCUAACUCCGUGCCAGCAGCCGCGGUAAUACGGAGGAUCCGAGCGUUAUCCGGAUUUAUUGGGUUUAAAGGGAGCGUAGAUGGGUUGUUAAGUCAGAUGUGAAAGUUUGCGGCUCAAACGUAAAAUUGCAAUUGAUACUGGCAGCCUUGAGUACAGGAGAGGUAGGCGGAAUGCGUGGUGUAGCGGUGAAAUGCUUAGAUAUCACGCAGAACUCCGAUUGCGAAGGCAGCUUACUAAACUGCCACUGACAUUGAUGCUCGAAAGUGUGGGUAUCAAACAGGAUUAGAUACCCGGGUAGUC